UAUAAAUGAGCAGGCUUCUAACAACUUAUAUAUGGUUUUCUGAGUAUUUUUCCUGUGGGAUUCACAUGCUCCUGUAUAAAUAUGCAGGCUUACAACUUAAGAACUGCCUUAUAAUACAGAAGGAAUGCUUUGGAAUACAAAAACCAUCUGUUCUUAAACGUUUGCUAGGAGAAGCUCAGUAAAAAGUAUUGUUUUGUGGGCUUAUUCAGUCAAUGCUUAAACUGUGUAGAAAGUUAUAUUUUCUCUCUAUACUUGCUUAUCUUGCAAUAUAGAUCCUGAGUUAAUAGAGAAAACACUGCGGUAGUCUGUGCGGAUUUCUGCACUGCAGGACCCCCAAAAAAUAACUUUGUACCUAUACCUUCCCCCUUUGAGUGAAGAAAGGAAAGAGGAAGAGAGGGGGAAAAGAACAAAAAGGGGGAAAAGAAGGAAGGAGGAGGAAGAGAAAGGAGAAGAGGAGGAGAGGAGUAAGGGAAGAGAAAGGAGGGAAGAAAAGGGGAAGACAGGAGAAGGAAAAGAAGAAGAGAAGAUAAAGAGAGGGGAAAGGAGAAAGGAGGAUGCUUUAACAAUAAUUAAAUAACAAAAAGAUGAAGCAUUUGAUGAGGAUCAGGAGCUUCAGCCUGAAGGUCACUGUGACAAGGUUGACUCAGAGUACGUGGGCAGCUUGGUUCCCUGGAGGUGACACAGCGCCCCCAUUUUCAACACUUUACGCACUUAAACUUGUUUAACACAUGGUUAUUGUUUUUGCACUUUGUUACUGUUAUAUAAUUAAAGGAGCCAUAAUCUCGGAGCUCCUAAGAUCCUAUAGAGGUCCUACUCUCUGUUUGAAAUGAUGACCUUAUGGAAAGUUUUAUACCUAAAACAUUAUCUUGGACAUGGAAUACUGUGUCAUCAUGUAUAAUAAUGGACUUUAAAAACAUCAAAAAUCGAGGUUCCACAGCACUCCAUAUCUGGUGGGCAUGUCCUAUAAUCCAACCCCUGUGGAGGAAAAUCUAUGCACUCCUUCUUUCACUCAAUCUCACUCCUCCGUAUACUCCAGAAGUAGCCCUCCUUCACAUGCAUAUGCCUAACCUAUCCCCCCCGGGGGAAGCGCUUACAAUCUAUGUUUUUAUGGCUACUAAAUUGGCACUCGCCAGAGCUUGGAAACAGGUUGGGCCUCCCUCUCUCUCUCAGGUGAUUUCCAUUGUACACUUUGUGGGACAAAUGGAACAGUACUCUUACAAGGUUCUAGAUCAGGUUGACUCCUUUUUUGGGAUCUGGUCCCUCUGGAUUACAAAAUUCCCACAGUGGGACAUCAGACCCCAACAUAUCUCUUAAAAGACUUCAUUCACCUCCCCUCCCUUACCUUAAUAUAUAUAUAUAUAUAUUUAUUUUUUUCUUCUCUUUUCUUUUCUUCUCCUAUCCCCCCCCCCCUCCCUCUCCCCCCCCCCCCUAAGUCUGACUCGCCCAUGCCCAUUUUCUCUUUAAAUAACUCCCCUUACUAUUGCCUCACCACCUAUUAUUGAAAAAGCUACUUGCAAUAUACCUUACGCUAAACCCCUAAAAAAAAAGAGACCCUUGGUUUUAUAUAUUGUGCAUAUUCUUAUAUCUCAUUUUUCAGUGGAUCAUACUUGUUUACUAGUUUAUUUGUUAAACUGAUCUAUUAAUGACUUGUACUCGUGAUCUUGAUACAGCACUAUUGUUUUACCUGUGCAUUUGUCUCAAUAAAAAUUUUUGAUUAAAAAAAAAAAAAAAAUCGAGGUUCCACAUAACAUCCCAUCCUACCUCCCUCCCACAGGGGCGGGGAUAGACUCUAAUAAGACAUCAUCUUGGCUGGUUCUUUAAUACUUUGUAAUCUGGAUAGAAGUAUCUAAAUAUGUCUUACAAUUGUAUUAUUGUUUGUUUUGAAACCUCAAUAAAAAUGUAUUUAUAAAAAAAAAUAAAAAAAAUACCUACAACAAAA